AACGAACGCUGGCGGCAUGCCUAAUACAUGCAAGUCGAACGAGAUCUUCGGAUCUAGUGGCGCACGGGUGCGUAACGCGUGGGAAUCUGCCCUUGGGUUCGGAAUAACGUCGGGAAACUGACGCUAAUACCGGAUGAUGACGUAAGUCCAAAGAUUUAUCGCCCAAGGAUGAGCCCGCGUAGGAUUAGCUAGUUGGUAAGGUAAAGGCUUACCAAGGCGACGAUCCUUAGCUGGUCUGAGAGGAUGAUCAGCCACACUGGGACUGAGACACGGCCCAGACUCCUACGGGAGGCAGCAGUAGGGAAUAUUGGACAAUGGGCGAAAGCCUGAUCCAGCGACGCCGCGUGGACGAUGAAGGCCUUCGGGUUGUAAAGUCCUUUUGCUUGGGAAAAAUCUUUGAUUGUACCAAGAGAAUAAGAGGUUGCUAACUCUGUGCCAGCAGCCGCUGUAA
rnacentral:rRNA from 1 species